rnacentral:misc_RNA from 1 species
AACUGAUACUACCUGCGGGAACCUGCGGAAGGAUCAUUAUCGAGUUUUGACUGGGUUGUAGCUGGCCUUACGAGGCAUGUGCACGCCCUGUUAAUCCACUCUACACCUGUGCACUUACUGUGGGUUUCAGAUCGUGAAUUGGGCCUACGGGCUCGUGAAACGCAUCUGUGCCUGCGUUUAUUACAAACACUGUAAAGUAUCAGAAUGUGUGGGUUGCGAUGUAACGCAUCUAUAUACAAC